rnacentral:lncRNA from 1 species
UUGUACAGAUCACUAUGCUGUUUCUAGAUGUGAGUUUAUCUUUAUCCUACACUGUGCUAGGGAUUAUACUUUCAAACUGAAAACUCAGCCAUUGCUCUAUUGACUUCUGCAAGGCCUAUCUGAAGAUAUGUGAUGAAGACUCUUUAAAUUAUCAUUAUGUAGUGAAUUAUCAGGAUCUUUCAUUUCAACAGUUUUCCAAGAGACUGUGGCUAAUCUACUAACAUUUUAUUAAAUAACCACAUUCUUCAUAUUAAAGAGUUCUAAUUUUUUUUUAAUACCACCUGUUCUUUUAUCUUUUCUGCUAAUUUUGUUACACAAUUUCUUGUCUUAGGUUUUCAGUAUUCAUUCACUAUAUAAAUAUUUGCAGAAAAUACUUUGUCACUUAUCCCAUAAAAUUAACUGCAUAAGGAAUAAGAUAUGUUACAUAUAGGUUAAGUAUCUUGCUUAGACUUAUUCUGAUUCGUAAUUUGUGUUGGCUAGGUAGCUUGUUGCAGUUUAUUAUUUAUUAAUUUAUUCAUUGAUUUCUCUUUAAUUGCUUUGUUUACUCAUCUCUUUGAGCUGCUUCCAUCCGUCUCUAUUCAGGGCCUCUGUCCAGGAUCAGAUAUUAUUAAUGACCUCUGGAUCCACUGUCUUUGAAGCCACAGACUUGAUCACUGUUAAGCAUUUCUAUUUCAUUUAUAGAGUAACGGAGAUGUUUGUUUUAUUUUUAUGCAUGGCAUUUUGUUUUGGUUUUCCACUUUUCAAUCUUAUUUCUUGAUGUGUAUUUGAUUCUCCUCAAAGCAUGGACGUGUUUUGCCAUUUUAACUGAAAAUCUUGGUGACUAUGUAAAUGGACUUUUGAGUCCAUUAGACUUCCUUGUCUCUCUUUUUUUUUUUUUUUUUUUUUUUUUUUUACUAAUGUUAUGGGUCUUUGUCUAUGUGCUCAUUACUUUGCUUCACUUUGGGAAAAUUUAGCUGUCAUAAUAUUUUAUAAGUUGCAUGUUUUCAAUAUAUAAAAUUAAUUUCUCGUAAAUUUGGAAUUAUAGUCUUUCAAAUUCUUGAUUUUUUAUGAGGAGAGUAAAGUGAAGAUAUGAUUUAAGGUACCACUUAAAGUAAUAGUAACUAAAGUAAUAUGUGCGAAGGUUACAUAAGAAAUCAAAUUUUACACAGUAGGACAGAGCAUAAUGGAGUGACUGUGCAGAAUACGGAGGAGAACACUGGGCUCUGGGUUGGAAGAUAAGUAUCUACUCUGGGCUUUGCCAGAGGUUAAAAGGAUUGAAAUCUUCUCUAAAGAUUCUUUAAAACCUUUGUUUUCUCAUUUGCAAAAUUAAAGUGUUGGAUUACAGAACUUCUAAGAUUUUUUUUCAGCUUUAAUGUAGAUGAUCCUGACAUUCUAAUUGAUAUUAUACUUCUGAAAUGAUGUCCAAUGUUUGCAAACGGCUUUAAUCAGAGUAGAGGCAAUUUUUAUGGAGGUUAUAAAGGGAAUAGACUCCAAAUGAGGCAUUUGGAUUUAAAAAGAAAAAUAGCUGGCAAUCAUGCACAGGUAGAAAAAUAAAUCAUGACAGAAAAGAAAAUGGUUGUAGUCACACAAUUGUUCAAUUUCCAAAGAAAAGAAUAUUUCAUCUGGGCAACUGAAAAGUACAAGAUUGUGUUUUCAAUUUUCAAGUUUGAAAAUUACUUUAAUCAACUGCUUACUUUUUAUUUUAGCCUUGAACAUAAAAAGAGUGCAUAGAAUUCAAAUAAGCAGAGUGAUAACAUCAGUAUAUAUCAUAGAGUCUUCCUUUCAGUGUCUUGUUUUUUAUGGUUAUAGAGGGAAGUUGACAAAUGUGUACUCACUUUCAGAAAAGGCAAGGGAAAACCACUCCAAGAAUUUAAUUUUCUUCUUACAGAAAUACAAACAUUUUAUGAAUUUAGGGAAUUAUGCAAUGAUUACAAUUUUUGAUAGUUUACUUAGUGUCAAAUCUAUGAUUUAUUUUGUUCUAUAGUUGAAGCCUUGGCAUAGACUCUCUUAAUUUACAGAUAGCAUGUUUUCAAAGGAUAGAGAAGACUCAAAGAUGUUAGCAUGAGGACAACUUAAGGCUGAAACUAAGUGCAAAUCAUGUUUGCAUCUUUAGUACCUAUUGUAAUAUUGUCUCACAUUAGUUAUAUAUUGUUGGCUGAAUUUAUUUUAAAAAGAUUUAAACUCUGAGGAUGCAAAGUGAUUGGGUGUUUCAAUGUUCAUUCAUCUAACAAAACCCACAUAUUAGAGUUUUGCUAGACUUCUUAUAAAUCUAACAGAGGGUCUAGAAUCCCUUAUGUAAAGGUCCUUGGUUUGAUAAUUCAAACUAUUUUAUAUUAUUAAGGGUGAUUUUUGCAUAUACUAUAUUAUCGAUCAGCAUAAAGCAAACCUCUUGAUCAAUACAUAAUUUCUAUAGCAAAAAAAAGUUCACAUUAGUAGUUCAUAUUGGUAUAAACAGCUUCACAUCAGAUAAGGUUUUGCUGCCAAAAUGAGUUUGUGAUAUACUUAAUAAAAACAAAUUUUUUUCAGAGCUUGUGGUUUUGGAAUUGUAGGUAAAGGAUGAUGUACCUACAUUAUAUUAAAAGUACAGAGAACCUGGUGAGCAGAAUACAAAGGUAUGUUUGAAAAGAUCUACUUGAAUUAUACAGAAAUAUAUUGUAAUUCAACAACCCCUGAGAAUAUUAAUGUGUUUAGUUGAUGCAAUCACACACUUGCCAGGUCCUCUGAAGACACAGCAAAAUUGUAAAGAUGACUGUCUAAGUGGAUUUAGUGGAGCAAUAUGUCAGGAAAUGGAUUUUUUAAAAUAUGAGAUUAACAACCCAGAAGGUAACAGACCCAGGACCUUGACUUCUUCAGAAACAGACACUUAGCAACAGAAUCAACAGAAGUAAGAAAAGUGGAUAGAGAUUUUAAAAAAUAGUUUAACUAUUGAUGAGCCAUAAUUAAAAUUCUAGAGCCACUCUGGGUAGUUUAGGUUAUCACAUUGCUCAUGUAUGAAGUCACAUGAGGGCAAAUUCAAAUACAAAGAAAAAGAUGCCUUCAAGAGGAAGAGAAGAGACAUUUUUCUAAGUAAAUAGACAAAUGAAUAAACCUAAAACAAUCAAAUAAAUACAGUUAACACAUUAACUUAACAGAGAGAGUGUUGCUAAACACAUAUACAUAGAGUAAAUUUCUGACAUACAUCCAUUGAGUAUUUUUCUGUAUAUAAUUUAAAAUUUUGCAUCAUGUAGUGGGUCAUGAUAUAAGUAGACUCUCAUUCGAAAUUCAGGGGCAAAAAUGGAAGAUGAGUAAUUGUGCUUAUUAUGGUAGUGAAGCUCUCUGAAGUAGAAUGGUUCAUUUGAGCACAGAAAGACACAACAUCAUAAAUAAAAGCUAUUCUGAAAGCAGAAAUGGUUCCUUGAAGAUAUUCUCUCCUCCCAGUAAGCAGUGUUAUCCGUGUUUAGUAAUAGUAGAUAAUAUACAUGGACAUUGUUUUUGUGUGUCUACAAGUUUUAUGAAUCUACUAUACAGUGUGGUAUUCUUUACCAUCAUUAAAGGAACCAGCAGUGAGCCGUGUGCUAGGGGCUUGAGAUAUUAAUUGGAUGACAUCAGAGGCUGAGCGCUUCUGCCAGUAGUAACAGUGAAGAACCAUGGUCCAGAAGGGGAUGUCACACGUGUCUGAACAGCCAAACUCUGUGAAGGAGCCCUGAGCCCACUUAAAGGACAGUACUUGCCAGUUAGACAACCCUUAGCAAGUCACUGAGUCUUCUGAAUCUUACUGCUCUUUUGAGAUAAUGACCUACUCACAGAUGCCCAAGAGAGCAUCUUGUAAACUGUGAAAAGCAAUAAAGAUAAUAUAAGACAGCAUUGGUCUUACCUUGCUCUGACAGAAUAGCAUGAUGGUUUAGUAUCUCUCAGCCUGGUUCAGGUUUCAGCAUUUUUUCACAACCAGCUUCUGACCACAUACAACUUACUUGAAUGGUUAUGGCCUUGGUAUCUGAAACUAGAAAGCAGAGAAAAUAUGAGUAUUAGCGAGUAUGGUCCAUCAUUAAUGGGACAGUGCAUAUGUCCUGCACAAAGUUCUCAAAAAUGUGACUUUUGAUGAUGAUGGUGAGAAGGUGAGGACUAUGCUGGUGGUGAAGUACCAUCUACGUCCUCAGAACAGUUCAAGCGCAAUCUCAGAAGCAGAUCCGAGAUAAUGCUUUAGCCAGUGAAUUAGGCUAUGCAGGGGGAGAGUCCCUAUAAGUCAUUUGAAUAUGGUUUAUCUAUGUUUUUCUGAAUUAGUUUUAAAUUCUCUAUCUUUGCUCAGGUAAAUUCAUUAUUGUGCACUUAUUCAUCAUGUAAUUACAAAUAGCUAUGUAAUAUAUACUGUGUAGUUAAUUCAUACUUUUAAAAAAUACCACAUACGCCAGUGCUCAUUGUGCCACUAUUUACAGUAUCCAAGACAUGGAAGCAACCUAAAUGUUCAUUGACAGAGGAAUGGAUAAAGAAGAUGUACAUAUAUAUAAUGAAAUACUACUCAACCAUAAAAAGGAAUGAAAUAAUGCCAUUUGCAGCAAAUGCAUGGACCUAGAGAUUAUCACACUAUGUGAAGUAAAUCAGACAGAAAAAGACAAAUGUCACAUGAUAUCACUUGUAAGUGGAAUCUAAUAAAAUAAAACAAAAUAACUUAUUUAUAAAGCAGAAGCAGGGAGUUCCUGCUGUGGUGCAGCAGAAACAAAUCUGACUAGGAACCAUGAGGUUGCAGGUUUGAUCCUUGGCCUCACUCAGUGGGUUAAGGAUCCUGUGUUGCCUUGAGCUGUGGCAUAGGUCACAGACCUGGCUCAGAUCUGAUAUUGUUGUGGUGUAGGCCGGCAUCUAAGCUCCGACUGGACUCCUAGCCUGGGAACCUCCAUAUGCUGCGGGUGUGGCUC